ensembl:lncRNA
CUUUUAAUGAGUACAACACACUGUUGCUGAUAUCUUGGUAUUAAACUUGAAAACAUUUUUUAAACUUCACUGUAAACUCAGUACAUUCUUUCAAAAUGUUCAUAUAACUUCCCACAGGUGCCCUUUUCUUAUCUUUGGAACAGCACAAGAAACUUUAGAUGCUGGAGAACACAGACACUAUAUCCAUCAGCAGACAGGGCCUAUGAUCUCCACUGGGGAAAGCUGGGGCUGCCAAGUAAGGCUAUGCAAGUUGUGUACACAAGUACUGAGGCAAGGAGGAAUAUGCGGAACUGGAGUCCAUCGGAUCCCCCUCACCCCAACAACCUUUGUGCCCUGGCUUGAGACUACAUCAUUUGGAAGAAAGGUCUUUUAGUAUUUCAACCACCUAGAAUGAGUGCCAUUUUGUAAUUUAUCCUCAGAGGGAAGCUUUUAUAAAUUCACAAAAAGGUGCUACAUGUGCUAGCAGUGACCACGAGGGAAGCUCAGUUUACCAACCUCUUAGCUGUUCAGUUGCAAACAUCCGCCAAGAUUUUGAAUCUUUGAACUCACUGAUGCAACUUCCCUGACCUAUGUCCCAUGCCCUUUGGGCUCUAUUUGGAGAUAAAAUCUGAAAAAUAAUUCUCACUAAAUAUUAAUUGUUAAUAUCAUAAUGUGUUUGUCUUUCUAGAAAGCAUUUGCACAUUUUAACUGAUGGCUCUGACUUGUUUCUAGAGUCACAGGAAACUAUGACAGGAAGUCUACCUACUUAAGGGCAGAGCUGGUCCCUCCAGCUCUUCUUUGUACUUCAACGAUAUACUUUAUACAUUCUUUAAAUUUGAUCCAGGGUCUAUGCACUCAAAAAAUGUGGAGGUUGUACAAAAUCAUUGGCUCAAGAUAUAAAAAAUGAAGAGGUCAAUAUCCGACUAUAUAGAAAGAGACUUUAAAAAUAUUUCAACUCAAAUCCGGAACACUUAUAACCUGUGUUACUUUAGUCAUGUCACCUCACUUACUUGAACAGUAUAGGAUUAUUUUGAAGGAUAAAUUAGACAUUUAAGACAAAAUAGCAGAAAAACAGCAUGCACACAAAUACAGUGUAUAAAAUUGGAAGCUGAAAAAUUCAUAGCUUUAUGGAUUUGGUACUACAUAUACUGCUAGCAUACAAAUAAGCCAAAGAUGAGUUCAUCAGAUUGGGUAAUUUUAAUAGAAAAAUGUAAUCAAUAACACAAGGGUAGUGACUUUUUAAAUUAGUCUUUGAAUUUAUUCAUAAUACUACCGUGUUUGAUGAAACAAACUGUGCUUACAUAAAAAUUAAAGAGUAUGGGCAUAGAUGUGUUUGAAACAUCACCAACCAUACCAGACUUACCAUGGCAAAAUAUUUCUUUAACAUUAGAAUUCCUUCUUGGCAUCUCCCCUCAUGGGACUUGUUCUUUCACUGGAAUUACUCAUUUUAAUUGAGAAUUAUAAAACCACAUAGGGGGUAUCAUCAUGCUGAGAUGAAAAUGACUGAAGUUUUUAUAGACUUCUUUUGUGUGGUAGCAUGAUGAUGGCAAGCUCUAGCUUAAUUUAAAAGAUAAAACAGUUCUAUUUCUUAAA